rnacentral:rRNA from 1 species
AUUGAACGCUGGCGGCAGGCCUAACACAUGCAAGUCGAGCGGCAGCACAAGGUAGCAAUACUGGGGUGGCGACCGGCGCACGGGUGAGUAACGCGUAUGCAACCUGCCUGUAACAGGGGAAUAGCCUCUUGAGAGAGAGAUUAAUGCCGCAUAAUACGAGAUUCGGGCAUCCGGAUUUAGUUAAACAUUUAUGGGUUACAGAUGGGCAUGCGUUUCAUUAGGUAGUUGGUGAGGUAACGGCUCGCCAAGCCGACGAUGAAUAGGGGUUCUGAGAGGAAGGUCCCCCACACUGGUACUGAGACACGGACCAGACUCCUACGGGAGGCAGCAGUGAGGAAUAUUGGUCAAUGGACGCAAGUCUGAACCAGCCAAGUCGCGUGAAGGAUGAAGGUAUUAUGUAUUGUAAACUUCUUUUGUCAGGGAAUAAUGGGUGUCACGUGUGACGCAGAGGAAUGUACCUGACGAAUAAGCAUCGGCUAACUCCGUGCCAGCAGCCGCGGUAAUACGGAGGAUGCGAGCGUUAUCCGGAUUUAUUGGGUUUAAAGGGUGCGUAGGCGGUUUGUUAAGUCAGUGGUGAAAGUUUGCGGCUCAACCGUAAAAUUGCCAUUGAAACUGGCGAACUUGAGUACAGUAGAGGUAGGCGGAAUUCGUGGUGUAGCGGUGAAAUGCUUANAUAUCACGAAGAACUCC